UACGUAGGGGGCUAGCGUUGUCCGGAAUCAUUGGGCGUAAAGAGCGUGUAGGCGGCCAGGUAGGUCCGCUGUGAAAACUCGAGGCUCAACCUCGAGAUGUCGGCGGAAACCAUCUGGCUAGAGUCCGGAAGAGGAAAGUGGAAUUCCCGGUGUAGCGGUGAAAUGCGCAGAUAAUCGGGAAGAACACCCGUGGCGAAGGCGGCUUUCUGGGACGGUACUGACGCUGAGACGCGAAAGCGUGGGGAGCGAACAGGAUAGAU
rnacentral:rRNA from 1 species